GACGUAGGGCGCGAGCGUUGUCCGGAAUCAUUGGGCGUAAAGCGCGUGUAGGCGGCCAGAAAAGUCCGCUGUGAAAACUCGAGGCUCAACUUCGAGCUGUCGGUGGAAACUUUCUGGCUAGAGUCCGGAAGAGGAGAAUGGAAUUCCUGGUGUAGCGGUGAAAUGCGCAGAUAUCAGGAAGAACACCCGUGGCGAAGGCGGUUCUCUGGGACGGUACUGACGCUGAGACGCGAAAGCGUGGGGAGCGAACAGG
rnacentral:rRNA from 1 species